UCUCACACGCUAUUUUUUUAUAUAUUUUGUGACAUCAAUUGUUCGUGUUCAGUAGUGCAGUGUUGGUAUAGGGUGUUUCAAAAUAUUUCAGGAUGCUUAGUGUAAGGGAUGUAUGUGUUAGAGAGUGUUAUAUUUAAUUUUGAGGUUCGUGUGUUUCAUGCCUCUUGUUUCAUCACAAAAACGUAGCUACCUCGUGUGUUUCUACUAAUGGAGCCAUCACACAGUGAAGAAACUUUAGAGAAACAAGCUGCUCGUGCCUUCUUACGAGAACAGUUUCUGUGGACCCUUACCUCAUUGGUUGGCCAUGAAGUAAAGUUUUCCUUGCAUGAAAAUACAAAUGUGACAGCAGUUUUCAGAGCCUGUGAUGUAGAUAUAUUGCACUUUUGUGUAUCAAAUCUAACAACAGCUUUAGGAGCACAGCCAGAUGCAGUUCUCAGAUCUGCUGAUGUUACGUCUUUCACUGUAGAUCUUUCAUAUCUAAAUAAAUCAUAAUGCAGCUUACUCAAUUAAACCAGCUACACCAAAGUCUAGUAAAGCAAUAUAAUACACAAGAAAUUACAACCUUCUGUCAUGACUUGUAAUGUUGUGAGUGCCAUGUCUCCUGAGUUAAUAUGGGAGCAGAAUCUACAAAUAAAUGUUUCACAUUUUUUGAAUUAUUUGAAGAACUAGGUAACAUUGUCUAGUAGCUUCUAAUCGGAUGAAGCUUUUUUUUUUUUUUGGACCACCAUUUAAAGAUUUAUAAUUUUAUUUGAGGUAUUAUAUUAAACUAGAUACUCAAACUGGCCAUUCACAAAUAUUGAACCAUAGCUGUAAUUUGGUAGACAACCUUGUAAACCGAUUUCUUAACCGGUCAACCUUGGCUAGAGUAAUAUUAUAUUGGUGUUUCAAGCAAGUAAAACUGAUUCUCAAACAAUCAACUGGUAGUAAAUGAGUGAAACCAAACACAGCUACAAGGAGCUUACAAAUGUAUUUUGUAAUGUGUUUCAGUAACUUAAAUCUUGUUUCUCAGCCAGCCAUCUCAUAAUGAUGUUAUAUUAUUAUUCAGUUAUAUAAUCAGCAUUUCAAAUUCCUAUUCUGUAAUAAACCUUGUUGCAGGCAAAUCAAUCAUAGCUAUAAAAAAAAUAUAUUUUUAUUUCAAUGAUAUAAAUUUCAUCUCCUGUGAGUUUUUUUAAGCAAGUCAAAGAAAUCAUCCAUUGUUCAGUAAUGCUAUAUUUUAACUACGUGUAUAUGUAAGCCUGUUUUUUUACCAUGUUUGCUUAUUCAGUUAACCACCUUUAUUACAGAUAUACAUGUAUACUGUCAUUUGGAUUAAAUAAUUUUUUUUAUUAAUAAACCAGCCAUUGCUGAACUGAGUCAAACUGUUUAGUAAUGUUUUCUUGAAGCUACAUCUAUAUAUGGUUGUUACAUAACUAUGUAUGACAACUAUUCCAUGAAAUAGUGAUAUGACUUUGUGUACUCUGUUUUGGGGUUUCAAUUCUGUAAGUUUCUACAAUUAUAAAUAAAUCUGUUUCACCAUUAAUUCCUAAAUGUGUGUGUCUGUAUGUGUGUAUAUGUAUAUAUAGGGUGUCACAGAAGAUUGGAUCCAUAAGGAAAAUAGACAUUACAUUCUUAAAGUUAAACAAACAAUUCUAAUGUCAGUUGUACAUAUUUCGAGAAAGAAAAUACCCUUAUGGCAAAGUAUACCAAGAAUUGAUAUUUGACAUGUGAAUGGCUGUUAAUGGCAUGCAAUUUGAAUAAUAGAUAUAUUAAGAACAAAAUGUGUAUUUUAACCUAUGGGUCCAGCAUUCUGGGAUACCCUGUAUAUUUUAAUGUUUCAAUUUUACCAUCCAUCAUUUCCAAACUCAAACUGGGCAAAAGUUGAACUGGUAGUUUUAUCUUCUGCUACAUUUUAACAGUAGCUAACUUAAAAAUUUCUUAUUUAGAUAGCGAUAUAUAUACAUGCACUUUCCUGCAUAGUUUAUUUCACUUAAAUUAUAUAUCCUGACAUAUGACAGAACAUUGAGAUUUGAAUACAUGUGAAGUAACAAAAAGAUUUCUGCACCUAGAAAAAAAUAUUUGUUAGUAUUAUAAAUUACAGUUAUAUCAUUUAACAUGAAUAACAAUCUAAUAUAGCAAUAGCAUAACAAAUUUCAAAAGAUACAAAUGGUUAAAUUUCUGUAAUGGAAAAGUGAAAAAAGCCAGAUGACCUAUAUUCCUUUUGACCAGUUUUAACCAUUUUGCAUUAAAUGCCACCUUUGUGUAGAAGAAAAUACUGUGUUUAUCAAUUAUUUUAUAAUCAAAACAAAUUUCUUUCAUAGAUUAGAUAUAGAAAUUAACCUAGUAAGUAAUGUAGAUAAACUAACAUAUUAGUUAAACUAGUAUGUAAUGUUGAGAAACAAAAAAACUUGUAAUAAUUAAAAUGCAUCACUUCAUUAUUUGGGUGUUAUCAUAAUUUUCUUACAAGAGAGUUCCUGUACAAAGAAAAAAUGUCUUUCUUCCUAACAAAAACGUGUGUAUCAUUAGGUUCUUUUUCAAAGUUCUUUGUUGGAUAGAUAUAGGUAUGUAAUUUUCAGAGCUGACAAUAAAAGAUAAAUAGUUUA
rnacentral:lncRNA from 1 species